GAUGAAGAACGCAGCGAACUGCGAUAAGUAAUGUGAAUUGCAGAAUUCAGUGAAUCAUCGAGUCUUUGAACGCACAUUGCGCCCCCUGGCAUUCCGGGGGGCAUGCCUGUCCGAGCGUCAUUGCUGCCCUUCAAGCCCGGCUUGUGUGUUGGGUCGUCGUCCCCCCCGGGGGACGGGCCCGAAAGGCAGCGGCGGCACCGCGUCCGGUCCUCGAGCGUAUGGGGCUUUGUCACCCGCUCGAUUAGGGCCGGCCGGGCGCAAGCCGGCGUCUCCAACCUUCUAUUUUACCAGGUUGACCUCGGAUCAGGUAGGGAUACCCGCUGAACUUAAGCAUAUCAAUAAGCGGAGGA
rnacentral:misc_RNA from 1 species